AAGCGGCGAACGGGUGAGUAACACGUAGGUGAUCUGCCCAUCAGACGGGGACAACGAUUGGAAACGAUCGCUAAUACCGGAUAGGACGAAAGUUUAAAGAUGCUCCUGGUAUCACUGAUGGAUGAGCCUGCGGCGCAUUAGCUAGUUGGUGGGGUAAAGGCCUACCAAGGCGACGAUGCGUAGCCGACCUGAGAGGGUGAACGGCCACACUGGGACUGAGACACGGCCCAGACUCCUACGGGAGGCAGCAG
rnacentral:rRNA from 1 species